ACCAUUUGGGAAUUCUCGAUUUCGUCGUGAAUAGAUCGCGUUUUGGUGGGAGAAAUGGAAAAAUAAUGAUGAUAUGUAGAGACGCACGCGCUACCAGAGCAUGACAUGAAGUGUAGGGCCCACAGACCUUAAGACACAGAAAAUGAAGUGCAUAUACCAGUACUAUUAGUGUUAGUGAAAGCAUUUGUUUUUGCACCAGAUUUAAAUGUGACUUUAUCAUAAAAUAUUGUUAGUAGUAAUGAUACUGUUAUUUUUGACAAUUUUAAAACUGUCACAAUUGCUAUUUUAGUAGAAUGGGAAAUUGGGAAAUUAUCACUUUUAUGCCCCAUGUUAAUUGUCUGCUAAAUUGAGAUAAUUCAAUGUAUUAAUACUAGUCUUAUUUGGCAAGCUGAUCUUGGUGAAGGGGAAAGUUUGGAUGAAGCUUUGGUGGACUCUGCCGAGGUCCCCAAGAGAAGGCUCGAAAGUUUUAGUGAAAAGGAAUCUUGCAGACAUUCCCGUGAUAAUGAGAGUGACUGUGGUGUUGACAACAACAGACAUGACGAUGAAGACAGUAGAAUUGUGAGUGUAGUCAGUGGUUUGAAAUGAAGUCUACCGGUACUCUUCUUUGUUAAGGACAUUAGCCAGAAGGCUCAUUUUUUGAUUGAUUAUUGAUUAGUUCACUAAUUUCAGAAUGA